AUUGAACGCUGGCGGCAUGCCUUACACAUGCAAGUCGAACGGUAACGGGCCUUCGGGUGCCGACGAGUGGCGAACGGGUGAGUAAUGUAUCGGAACGUACCUUUCAGUGGGGGAUAACGUAGCGAAAGUUACGCUAAUACCGCAUAUUCUGUGAGCAGGAAAGCAGGGGAUCGCAAGACCUAGCGCUGAUUGAGCGGCCGAUAUCAGAUUAGCUAGUUGGUGAGGUAAAGGCUCACCAAGGCGACGAUCUGUAGCGGGUCUGAGAGGAUGAUCCGCCACACUGGAACUGAGACACGGUCCAGACUCCUACGGGAGGCAGCAGUGGGGAAUUUUGGACAAUGGGGGCAACCCUGAUCCAGCCAUGCCGCGUGAGUGAAGAAGGCCUUCGGGUUGUAAAGCUCUUUCGGCCGGGAAGAAAUCGUAUGGGUUAAUACCCUGUGCGGAUGACGGUACCGGCAUAAGAAGCACCGGCUAACUACGUGCCAGCAGCCGCGGUAACAC
rnacentral:rRNA from 1 species